rfam:Triticum aestivum genome assembly, contig: Triticum_aestivum_CS42_TGACv1_scaffold_129636_2BL
AUACUAUUACCACCGUCCCAAAUUACUUGUCUUAGGUUUGUCUAGAUACGGAUGUAUCUAACACAAAACUUGUCUAGAUACAUCUCUAUCUAGACAAAUCAUAGACAAAUAAUUCGGGACGGAGGGAGUACCAU